rnacentral:rRNA from 1 species
AGCGGAGGAAAAGAAACCAACAGGGAUUGCCCCAGUAACGGCGAGUGAAGCGGCAACAGCUCAAAUUUGAAAUCUGGCCCUAGGCCCGAGUUGUAAUUUGCAGAGGAUGCUUUUGGCGCGGUGCCUUCCGAGUUCCCUGGAACGGGACGCCAUAGAGGGUGAGAGCCCCGUACGGUUGGACACCAAGUCUUUGUAAAGCUCCUUCGACGAGUCGAGUAGUUUGGGAAUGCUGCUCAAAAUGGGAGGUAUAUUUCUUCUAAAGCUAAAUAUUGGCCAGAGACCGAUAGCGCACAAGUAGAGUGAUCGAAAGAUGAAAAGCACUUUGAAAAGAGGGUUAAACAGCACGUGAAAUUGUUAAAAGGGAAGCGCUUGUGACCAGACUUGCGUCCGGUGAAUCACCCAGCUCUCGCGGCUGGGGCAUUUUGCCGGCUCAGGCCAGCAUCAGCUUGCCGUCGGGGACAAAAGCUUCGGGAACGUAGCUCUCUUCGGGGAGUGUUAUAGCCCGUUGCAUAAUACCCUUCGGUGGGCUGAGGUACGCGCUCCGCAAGGAUGC